GGGUUGUGAGGUUAAGCGACCAAGCGUACACGGUGGAUGCCCUGGCAGUCAGAGGCGAUGAAGGACGUGCUAAUCUGCGAAAAGCGCCGGUAAGGUGAUAUGAACCGUUAUAACCGGCGAUGUCCGAAUGGGGAAACCCAGUGUGACUCGUCACACUAUCAUUAACUGAAUCCAUAGGUUAAUGAGGCGAACCGGGGGAACUGAAACAUCUAAGUACCCCGAGGAAAAGAAAUCAACCGAGAUUCCCCCAGUAGCGGCGAGCGAACGGGGAGGAGCCCAGAGCCUGAAUCAGCAUGUGUGUUAGUGGAAGCGUCUGGAAAGGCGCGCGAUACAGGGUGAGAGCCCCGUACACAAAAGCGCAUAUGCUGUGAGCUCGAUGAGUAGGGCGGGACACGUGGUAUCCUGUCUGAAUAUGGGGGGACCAUCCUCCAAGGCUAAAUACUCCUGACUGACCGAUAGUGAACCAGUACCGUGAGGGAAAGGCGAAAAGAACCCCGGCGAGGGGAGUGAAACAGAACCUGAAACCGUGUACGUACAAGCAGUGGGAGCCUCUCUUUAUGGGGGGUGACUGCGUACCUUUUGUAUAAUGGGUCAGCGACUUAUAUUCUGUAGCAAGGUUAACCGCAUAGGGGAGCCGAAGGGAAACCGAGUCUUAAUUGGGCGUUAAGUUGCAGGGUAUAGACCCGAAACCCGGUGAUCUAGCCAUGGGCAGGUUGAAGGUUGGGUAACACUAACUGGAGGACCGAACCGACUAAUGUUGAAAAAUUAGCGGAUGACCUGUGGCUGGGGGUGAAAGGCCAAUCAAACCGGGAGAUAGCUGGUUCUCCCCGAAAGCUAUUUAGGUAGCGCCUCGUGAACUCAUCUCCGGGGGUAGAGCACUGUUUCGGCUAGGGGGCCAUCCCGGCUUACCAACCCGAUGCAAACUGCGAAUACCGGAGAAUGUUAUCACGGGAGACACACGGCGGGUGCUAACGUCCGUCGUGAAGAGGGAAACAACCCAGACCGCCAGCUAAGGUCCCAAAGUCAUGGUUAAGUGGGAAACGAUGUGGGAAGGCCCAGACAGCCAGGAUGUUGGCUUAGAAGCAGCCAUCAUUUAAAGAAAGCGUAAUAGCUCACUGGUCGAGUCGGCCUGCGCGGAAGAUGUAACGGGGCUAAACCAUGCACCGAAGCUGCGGCAGCGACACUUUAGUGUUGUUGGGUAGGGGAGCGUUCUGUAAGCCGUUGAAGGUGUCCUGUGAGGGGUGCUGGAGGUAUCAGAAGUGCGAAUGCUGACAUAAGUAACGAUAAAGCGGGUGAAAAGCCCGCUCGCCGGAAGACCAAGGGUUCCUGUCCAACGUUAAUCGGGGCAGGGUGAGUCGACCCCUAAGGCGAGGCCGAAAGGCGUAGUCGAUGGGAAACGGGUUAAUAUUCCCGUACUUGGUGUUACUGCGAAGGGGGGACGGAGAAGGCUAUGUUGGCCGGGCGACGGUAGUCCCGGUUUAAGCGUGUAGGCUGGUUUUCCAGGCAAAUCCGGAAAAUCAAGGCUGAGGCGUGAUGACGAGGCACCACGGUGCUGAAGCAACAAAUGCCCUGCUUCCAGGAAAAGCCUCUAAGCAUCAGGUAACAUCAAAUCGUACCCCAAACCGACACAGGUGGUCAGGUAGAGAAUACCAAGGCGCUUGAGAGAACUCGGGUGAAGGAACUAGGCAAAAUGGUGCCGUAACUUCGGGAGAAGGCACGCUGACACGUAGGUGAAGUGAUUUACUCAUGGAGCUGAAGUCAGUCGAAGAUACCAGCUGGCUGCAACUGUUUAUUAAAAACACAGCACUGUGCAAACACGAAAGUGGACGUAUACGGUGUGACGCCUGCCCGGUGCCGGAAGGUUAAUUGAUGGGGUCAGCGCAAGCGAAGCUCCUGAUCGAAGCCCCGGUAAACGGCGGCCGUAACUAUAACGGUCCUAAGGUAGCGAAAUUCCUUGUCGGGUAAGUUCCGACCUGCACGAAUGGCGUAAUGAUGGCCAGGCUGUCUCCACCCGAGACUCAGUGAAAUUGAACUCGCUGUGAAGAUGCAGUGUACCCGCGGCAAGACGGAAAGACCCCGUGAACCUUUACUAUAGCUUGACACUGAACAUUGAGCCUUGAUGUGUAGGAUAGGUGGGAGGCUUUGAAGCGUGGACGCCAGUCUGCGUGGAGCCGACCUUGAAAUACCACCCUUUAAUGUUUGAUGUUCUAACGUGGACCCGUAAUCCGGGUUGCGGACAGUGUCUGGUGGGUAGUUUGACUGGGGCGGUCUCCUCCUAAAGAGUAACGGAGGAGCACGAAGGUUGGCUAAUCCUGGUCGGACAUCAGGAGGUUAGUGCAAUGGCAUAAGCCAGCUUGACUGCGAGCGUGACGGCGCGAGCAGGUGCGAAAGCAGGUCAUAGUGAUCCGGUGGUUCUGAAUGGAAGGGCCAUCGCUCAACGGAUAAAAGGUACUCCGGGGAUAACAGGCUGAUACCGCCCAAGAGUUCAUAUCGACGGCGGUGUUUGGCACCUCGAUGUCGGCUCAUCACAUCCUGGGGCUGAAGUAGGUCCCAAGGGUAUGGCUGUUCGCCAUUUAAAGUGGUACGCGAGCUGGGUUUAGAACGUCGUGAGACAGUUCGGUCCCUAUCUGCCGUGGGCGCUGGAGAAUUGAGGGGGGCUGCUCCUAGUACGAGAGGACCGGAGUGGACGCAUCACUGGUGUUCGGGUUGUCAUGCCAAUGGCACUG
rnacentral:rRNA from 1 species